UCGUGAUCCCAGAAUUCCAUUUCCCUUUCACUCCCCUAAAAACCCACACUGCCUUCACUCCCCUCAAAACUCACCAUGCCACCGCUGAUUCUCCAGCCGCGUCGUCGUUCCACUUCUCCCUGAGCGCCUCUUGUCUAACCGCUUCCAUUUAUUUUGAGGUUUGCGUUUUGUUUAAUUUUUGUUUACAGAUUUCUCCCAUCAACAAAUGUAAUUAUUGUUUAAAUUAUAAAGUUUAGGGAAAUAAUUAAGUUUGAAUUACAAAAAAAAUCAGUCGAAUACAAUAAAUUCAGUCAAAUUAUUGUCGAACAAAAUUGAUGAUUUGAGUCCAAUUAAACUGUUUUUCUUUUAAUUAAUACUAUGAAUUUAGUCGAAUUUAAAUUGGAACUUAUGUUGGGGAAAGAAAGAGGGCGAUUGGAAAAUUGAUGGCAUUAUCAAAUUGUAUCUGUCUUCUUAGUUCUUAAAUUCAAGUGUCAAGGUUGAUCUUUCGUUUCCUUUGUUUUUAGCCUGAAUCUAAUUACUGAAAUUAAUCAAAUCAUACCAUUUUGUAUAAGUGUAUGUCUUAAUUGGUAAUGGUUAGUUGCAAUUACAUAGUCAUUCGUAUUGGUUUAAUGAAAUUACAACGUAAAAAUCAAACAAUCAUGAAUGAUAUUAUAGUAUCAACUUGUGCCUAUCACUCUCUGUGUGUGCAAUCACAGUUUGUCACCUCCAGAAUAUGUCAAGUGAGCUUUGCUGGAGAACUGUUGGAGUACUUUGAAUAACUGUUGUGAUGGGACACCUAAUACCUUAAGGUAAAUAUUCUAGUAUUUCAAGUGUUAUGGUUGUGCUGAAUUGAAGCCUCAUAUUGUUAAUUUGGUAAGUAUGGUAGAGGCUUGCCUGCUUGGACCUGUACUGGGUAUUUUCAACAGUAAGGAGCCUUCUGUGUUUCAGCAGGAGUAUCAAAUGCGGAAAAUGAAGCAGGCAAAAGUGUUGCCUUCUGCUAAUUUUUUUUUUUAUGAUAGCAUUCGUUACAUCCUCAACGAAACAAGUAUAUGCUUCAAUAGUUGUGCUCAUGUGUGUCAAUUUAUAUUUUUCAUAAAUCACUAUGGUCGAAUAAAACUGAAUGCAGAUGAAUUAUUGAGUCGGAUUAAACUGAAUUAGGUCCAAUCAAAUUGUUUUGUUGAGCUAAACUGUAUUUAAUAAGAUGAAACAGAAUGAGGUUAAAUUAAAUUGAAACUAAACAUCAGGGGAAGAAUUUAUAACUAAAACUCCAGUUUAACACAUAGAUUUAAGGCACCUUAUUUAUGGGUUAUUUCCUCUUCUCCUUCUAACUAAUCAAGUACAACUGUGAAAUUAACCAUUUUUUGAUAACAAUUUAUUCUGCCAAUGCUAGCAGUUGCAUUCUCACCUUUGAUAUCUUGUGCCUACUACACUUGUAACACCCCAACCCUGGUGUUACACCAUUUAUGUGUUCAUUCACUUGAGAGUGUCCAUGUGUUGAAGCUUUUGAAGAUGCAGUUUUGACUCCCUGUGCUCAUUGCUUAUGUCGGGAGUGCCUUUGAUGCUGCUUCAGGUUAUAUCCAGUUUGUAGGUAUAAUCAAGUUUUCUUCAGUAGCUUACCAAAAAAUUUCUAAUCCUCUAGGACAACAUUUCAUUUAGCUACUUAUUUAAAUAUAAGGCUAGAUAUCCACCAGUGAUAAACUGAGGCUUGUUUACAUAUUUCUCAACACUGAAAUUUACUUCAUAGAGGUUUAACAUCUCAUUUUACUUGUAUCUUUCAUGUCAUUGAUUUGUCACCAGUUUAUUUUAUGCUUUAUGUUUGUAUUUAGAAUUUUCUCUGGUUUAGGGUUUGAAUCCAUGACAAUGAAGCAUUGGAAACCGUAGGACAUAUCUUUAUUGCAGGUUCAUUUUUGUUAGUGAUGAUGAAUUUUUUUUUGGACCACUAUUUUCAGACUCUCUAAACUUCGUCAUAUUCUGUCAGCUGUCUCAUUUGUUGCUGCGAGCCUGCGAUCAAUUUCUUAUUUUACGGACGAUAUUUAUCUACUGGGAAUAGUGAUGCUGAUCAUGUACUGGGUAUUUUCAGCAGUAAGUGGCCUUCUUUGUUUCAGCAUGGGUAUCAAAUGCAGAAAAUGGAGCAGGCAAGUCUUUCUACGUACUAAUCUUUUUAUUUUUUUAUUUUUAUUUUUGAUGAUAGAAUUCACAACAUCCUCUAACACGUAUCUGCUUCUAAGCUCGUGCUCGUGUGUAUCAAUUUCUAUUUUUCAUAAAUCACUGUGGUCGAAUAAAAUUGAAUGCAUAUGAAUUAUUGAGUUGAAUAAAACUGAAUUAUGUCCAAUCAAAUUGUUUAGUCGAGCUAACUGAAUUUAAUCGGAUGAAACAAAAUUAGGUUGAAUCUGAUUCUGUUAUUUAUUAAGCAAAGCGAUUGAUUUCGUUAUUAGUGUUUAUGAAAGAUUUGAGUCAUAUGUAUUAUGGUCUUGCUUGUUGUAGUGGUUGGUUAAGUAUUUGUGGAUUAGGAACCCAAAUUCUUGGAUGUUAUUCCCUUCUAAGAAAUUCAGUCAUAUGUAUAAUAUGGUUUUCAGGCCUUCCUUCUAAGAAAUCAUCCACUAUAGUAGUCAUGUACUUUUUGGCUUGUUUCUAAUAGUCUGAAGAGUCGUCUCCUUUGCAUAGAUAAUCUGAUAGAGUCAUCUUCUUUGCAUAGAAUUGUAUUAUAUAUUAUGUCAGAUGUGUCUUCUAGCAGUGAGUUCUAUGAUGUUUGAUGUUUGGAUUUUAAGUUUCGGAGGAAAUCGACCAGGGCUAGAGUUGAAGGACUUCACUAUGCAGCAACAACGGCUUGCACACAUGCGUUUCUAAGGGGAGCUAUGUAACUAUGAGCAUGUGAAGCCAUCUGUUAUCUUUGAGACGCUAUGUAACUAUGAGCACGUGGACUCAUCUGUUAUCUUUGAGACGCUAUACUAGAUGAAGAGCUUGAAGAUGGUAUAGAUUAUGAAGAUGAUGAUACGAUGUAGGUGAUUUAUGACUUCAUUUUAAUUUUAGAAUUUCGUAUUCCUUUACAGAUAAAAUUAUGUGACGAAACAUUAAGUACCUUUAGACAAUAAUAUUUUUUGUAAGAUUUUUUUGGGAGUAAUGAAAGAUUUGGAUUAUUUUGGUAUUA